AUUGAACGCUGGCGGCAGGCCUAACACAUGCAAGUCGAACGGUAACAGGAAGAAGCUUGCUUCUUUGCUGACGAGUGGCGGACGGGUGAGUAAUGUCUGGGAAACUGCCUGAUGGAGGGGGAUAACUACUGGAAACGGUAGCUAAUACCGCAUAACGUCGCAAGACCAAAGAAGGGGGACCGUUCGGGCCGUCUUGCCAUCGGAUGUGCCCAGAUGGGAUUAGCUAGUAGGUGGGGUAACGGCUCACCUAGGCGACGAUCCCUAGCUGGUCUGAGAGGAUGACCAGCCACACUGGAACUGAGACACGGUCCAGACUCCUACGGGAGGCAGC
rnacentral:rRNA from 1 species